rnacentral:rRNA from 1 species
AGGGUAAACGCUGGCGGCGUGCCUAAAACAUGCAAGUCGAACGCACACUUUCGGGUGUGAGUGGCAGACGGCUGAGUAACGCGUGAGUGACAUACCCGUUGGUGGGGAAUAACUGCCCGAAAGGGUGGCUAAUACCGCAUAAGCCCACUGGACCAAUCCAGUGGGGAAAGUCGCAAGGCGCCGAUGGAAUGGCUCGCGUUCGAUUAGCUAGUUGGUGGGGUAAUGGCCUACCAAGGCGACGAUCGAUAGCUGGUCUCAGAGGAUGAUCAGCCAGACUGGGACUGAGACACGGCCCAGACUCCUACGGGAGGCAGCAGUUAGGAAUUUUGGGCAAUGGGCGCAAGCCUGACCCAGCAACGCCGCGUGGGUGACGAAGGCCUUCGGGUUGUAAAGACCUUUCUGAGGAAGAUGAUGACGGUACUCAGGAAUAAGCACCGGCUAACUACGUGCCAGCAGCCGC